UACAGAGGGGGCAAGCGUUAUUCGGAAUUAUUGGGCGUAAAGGGCGCGUAGGCGGCUUUGCAAGUGACGGGUGAAACCCCUCGGCUUAACCGAGGAACUGCCUGUCAAACUGCAUGGCUUGAGACCGGGAGAGGUGAGUGGAAUUCCCAGUGUAGCGGUGAAAUGCGUAGAUAUCGGGAGGAACACCAGAGGCGAAGGCGGGUUACUGGGCUGAUACUGACGCUGAUGCGCGAAAGCCAGGGGAGCAAACGGG
rnacentral:rRNA from 1 species